rnacentral:rRNA from 1 species
UACGUAGGGUCCAAGCGUUAUCCGGAAUCACUGGGCGUAAAGCGUGCGUAGGUGGUUCGUUAAGUGUAUUGCGAAAUCCUGUGGCUCAACCAUAUGGACUGUAAUGCAUACUGGCAAACUAGAGGACGGCAGAGGCAAGUGGAAUUACUGGUGUAGCAGUGAAAUGCGUAGAGAUCAGUAGGAACACCAAUGGCGAAGGCAGCUUGCUGGGCCGACCCUGACGCUAAGGCACGAAAGCGUGGGGAGCGAACAGG